AUGGUGUAUGUGGCCUUGAGCAAUAAACCCACCUGUGGGGGCAGGUGGGCGAGGACACCUGCAGCUCCUUGAACCCAGCGCUUUGUUUCUUCCAGGCCUUUGCCCAGGCUGUGGGCUCUGCCUGGAGCCCCUUUUCUUCCCACUAAAGCCCUUCCCUUCACUGCCUCUUCCUCUGGGAAGCCCUCUCUGGUGCCCAGCCCGUCCUCUUCCGCCCCCUCUCAGCUCUGCACCCCACGCUGAGGCCCAGAUUGCCUGCUUUGCACAGAAGGCUGUGAGCUCCAUGAGGGCAGAAACCACAUGGCUCUUCACAGCUGUGCUGCCCGGGCCUGGCCUGGAGCCCCUCAGGAAGCGAGACAUCUGAAUCCUCUGCCCUGUGCCCCUGGCAGCCAGGUAGAGCCACCUUGGCCAGACCACCCCGGCUUGGAGCAAGCAGCAGCCUCGUGGAUGGGGAACCACGUUUCCCUGGCACAUUAGCAGGCCCUAAGUGCUGCACGAACACUUGGCUCUGCCCUCAGAGUGCCGAUGCCCAGGGGACGCUGCCCUUUGUGUGCUACCUAAGAGAGAAUGCAGCCUUCGAGAGGGCAGGGAUAAGCGUGACCCCAGGCCCUGUUGUCCCGUCCUAAGAAAGUUCCCGGGUCUGCCUGUCCAGUCCCGACCUUUUCUCUGUGCUGUCUGGGAUGGUGGGUGGACCUGCUGCUGA